CCUACGGGAGGCAGCAGUAGGGAAUAUUGGGCAAUGGAGGCAACUCUGACCCAGCCAUGCCGCGUGAACGAAGAAGGCGCUAUGCGUCGUAAAGUUCUUUUAGAGGGGGCGAAAACACUUGAUUCAUCAAGUACUGACGGUACCUUCGGAAUAAGCACCGGCUAACUCUGUGCCAGCAGCCGCGGUAAUACAGAGGGUGCAAGCGUUAUCCGGAAUCACUGGGUUUAAAGGGUGCGUAGGCGGGAUUAUAAGUCAGAGGUGAAAUCUCGUCGCUUAACGACGGAAUUGCCUUUGAUACUGUUUUUCUUGAAAUUUGUUGAGGUUGGCGGAAUGAGACAUGUAGCGGUGAAAUGCUUAGAUAUGUCUUAGAACACCGAUUGCGAAGGCAGCUGACUGGACAAUAUUUGACGCUGAGGCACGAAAGCGUGGGGAUCAAACAGAAUUAGAUACCCUGGUAGUCCACGCCCUAAACGAUGUUUACUUGCUGUUUGUUUUUCGGAAUGAGUGGCGAAGCGAAAGCGAUAAGUAAACCACCUGGGGAGUACGCCCGCAAGGGUGAAACUCAAAUGAAUUGACGG
rnacentral:rRNA from 1 species